rnacentral:rRNA from 1 species
UACGGUAGGUGACAAGCGUUGUCCGGAUUUACUGGGCGUAAAGAGCGCGCAGGCGGUCGAUCAAGUCGAGUGUGAAAGCCCCCGGCUCAACUGGGGAGGGUCAUUCGAUACUGAUCGACUCGAAGGCAGGAGAGGGUAGUGGAAUUCCCGGUGUAGUGGUGAAAUGCGUAGAUAUCGGGAGGAACACCAGUGGCGAAGGCGACUACCUGGCCUGUUCUUGACGCUGAGGCGCGAAAGCUAGGGGAGCAAACGGG